rnacentral:rRNA from 1 species
AUUGAACGCUGGCGGCAGGCCUAACACAUGCAAGUCGAACGAGUGGCGGACGGGAGAGUAAUGUCGGGGAAACUGCCCGAUAGAGGGGGAUAACUACUGGACACGGUAGCUAAUACCGCAUACCAUCGGAUGUGCCCAGAUGGGAUGAGCGUGUAGGUGGGGGAACGGCUCACCUGGGCGACGAUCCCGCGCUGGUCAGAGAGGAUGACCAGCCACACUGGAACUGCGACACGGUCCAGACUCCGACGGGAGGCAGCAGUGGGGAAUAUUGCAAAAUGGGCGCAAGCCUGAUGCAGCCAUGCCGCGUGUAGGAAGAAGGCCCUCGGGUUGUAAAGUACUUUCAGCGGGGAGGCGUUACCCGCAGAAGAAGCACCGGCUAACUCCGUGCCAGCAGCCGCGGUAAUAC